CAUUGAAACAGGGGUUCCCGUACGAUCACCGAAGUUAAGCAACGUCAAACCUGGUCAGUUCCUCGGUGGGUGACCGCCUGGGAAUACAAGGUACCGUAA